GUUAAGCGACUAAGCGUACACGGUGGAUGCCCUGGCAGUCAGAGGCGAUGAAGGACGUGCUAAUCUGCGAUAAGCGUCGGUGAGGUGAUAUGAACCGUUAUAACCGGCGAUUUCCGAAUGGGGAAACCCAGUGUGUUUCGACACACUAUCAUUAACUGAAUCCAUAGGUUAAUGAGGCGAACCGGGGGAACUGAAACAUCUAAGUACCCCGAGGAAAAGAAAUCAACCGAGAUUCCCCCAGUAGCGGCGAGCGAACGGGGAGGAGCCCAGAGCCUGAAUCAGUGUGUGUGUUAGUGGAAGCGUCUGGAAAGGCGUGCGAUACAGGGUGACAGCCCCGUACACAAAAAUGCACAUAUUGUGAGCUCGAUGAGUAGGGCGGGACACGUGGUAUCCUGUCUGAAUAUGGGGGGACCAUCCUCCAAGGCUAAAUACUCCUGACUGACCGAUAGUGAACCAGUACCGUGAGGGAAAGGCGAAAAGAACCCCGGCGAGGGGAGUGAAAAAGAACCUGAAACCGUGUACGUACAAGCAGUGGGAGCCUCUUAAUGGGGUGACUGCGUACCUUUUGUAUAAUGGGUCAGCGACUUAUAUUCUGUAGCAAGGUUAACCGAAUAGGGGAGCCGAAGGGAAACCGAGUCUUAACUGGGCGUUAAGUUGCAGGGUAUAGACCCGAAACCCGGUGAUCUAGCCAUGGGCAGGUUGAAGGUUGGGUAACACUAACUGGAGGACCGAACCGACUAAUGUUGAAAAAUUAGCGGAUGACUUGUGGCUGGGGGUGAAAGGCCAAUCAAACCGGGAGAUAGCUGGUUCUCCCCGAAAGCUAUUUAGGUAGCGCCUCGUGAAUUCAUCUCCGGGGGUAGAGCACUGUUUCGGCAAGGGGGUCAUCCCGACUUACCAACCCGAUGCAAACUGCGAAUACCGGAGAAUGUUAUCACGGGAGACACACGGCGGGUGCUAACGUCCGUCGUGAAGAGGGAAACAACCCAGACCGCCAGCUAAGGUCCCAAAGUCAUGGUUAAGUGGGAAACGAUGUGGGAAGGCCCAGACAGCCAGGAUGUUGGCUUAGAAGCAGCCAUCAUUUAAAGAAAGCGUAAUAGCUCACUGGUCGAGUCGGCCUGCGCGGAAGAUGUAACGGGGCUAAACCAUG
rnacentral:rRNA from 1 species